GAUGCUACAGUUAGGUUAUGCGAGUUGCGUAGUGAGGUCUUUGUAUCCAUAAGCAGGUUAGCUGCCGCACUCCCAGCACCUGCUCGACUUGGUCUGCUGGAUUUGCAAGCUUUCGUUGCAAUGUUCCUGUGUGACUAUGCAUUUGUGAAAUUCACUGUUGGCCAGUGUAGCUGCUAGCGUUGUCUUUGGAAAAAUACUUUAUUUUUUAGGGCAUAUGAAGUGAAGAAGGAAAUAUUUGGCAGCUCUGAAGUAGUUCUACCUGCAGGCCAGUAGAGUUUUUCGCGUUUACUUCAAUUGGAAACCGAAACGGUAGGAAAAUUCUCCAUUGUUGCUUUUUCACUCGGUCUCACGUACGCAAUUGUCAGUGGUCAUCGCUGUGGCAUUUGUGCUGCUUUGAGCCCUUGUUGAGCAUCUAUGGUGAUGACUUAAUCCUUCGAGGACCAAGGGACCGGAAAUAGUUCCGCCUUCUCUAAAAGAGUGUCACCUUAAACGGUU
rnacentral:lncRNA from 1 species